rnacentral:tRNA from 1 species
CAGUAAAUAUUUUAAAAUAAAAUUUUAGUUUUGGAGACUAAAAAUGAAUAGUAUUCUUUACUGA